GGCGUCUGCAGAUGGUGAAGCAAGAGCAAUGACAGACAUGCUGAUGUGUUUAACUUCUCUGGCUUGGAAAGUGAGAAAGGAGGAGAGACAGUGGCAGCAGACAGCGAGGAUGGGGGGACAAAGACAUCAACGCACACACACACUUCUAAUCUCUCACACGCAAGCAGGCGUGCCCUUCAAAGCCAAAGGAACUGGAGCAGACGAGACAAAGAUGGACACGGUGGCUGUAAAGACACGAGCGGGCGUGCGAGUGUCUCCUGUGGCUGCAAGAGAAAGUCAUUAGGAGCUUUGAAGAUGAAUGUACAGCAUCAUCGGCGAGGGACUUGUGUGGCUCCGCGAGGACACAAAGGACAGCUGCUGAAAUCACUGAGUGGAAAAAAAAGAACAACAAAAUCUGUGGACCAUCCAUGAUCCCAGUUAUUAGACAAUGGAGUGACUCUGGGAUCAGAGGAGGAGAUGUGAUGCUCUGGCUGGAGCUCCACAGGCCACAGAGAUGACACAUGGAUAAACACCAUGCCAGCGACAUGAUGACAUGAUGGGGCCUUAAUGAUAGUUCUUAGCACCUCAUUCUCAUCAGGGCUGUCAAGUCACAAAGGUUGACUUUGACUCCCUGUUGGAGCUCAGUCUGGGGGGAGUUAUUUUUUUCUCCUUAUCUUUCCUCGUGUGGUGCAUUUUUCCAUUGUUAUACCUCUCUGACCUGUCUUCCCCAUGUGAUGUUUUUGUGUAAUGUAUGUAUAGUCAGAGGGUAAGAUGGCGCCGCCAUUGCGUGCAAUAGGUCGGCAGCCUAAUGAAAUUUCCCCUUGUGGGACUAAUACAGGUAUAUCAAAUCAAAUCAAUUCAAAAUCAAAAGUUCAUUUUUUGUUUUUCCAUAAUGCUUCUUCUUCUACAAUAAUUAUAGGAUUUGGAGGUGGUAGUUGUUGUGUUAGUUUUUUUUGCAGCUUUUGUUUAUUAAAUUAUAAUAUAUGAAAUUCUAAUGUAUAGUGUACCUUUGCGAUCUGCAGUGAAAUAAACAAAAUCUUUCCUAAAACUUAAUCUUAAAUGCAUAUUGUGAUUUUUUUUAAGAUAAAUUUUGCAGUUCUUGACACUGUAUUCGGAAGAUUUUCUGCAUGUCUUCUUCUGUAACUUUCACUCCUCUGUCCAGUGAACCACAACCCUCUCACUCUUGACAAUAAAGGUGUAUUUUGCCUCUUU
ensembl:lncRNA